rnacentral:rRNA from 1 species
UUAAAUUGAAGAGUUUGAUCAUGGCUCAGAUUGAACGCUGGCGGCAGGCCUAACACAUGCAAGUCGAACGGUAACAGGAAGCAGCUUGCUGCUUCGCUGACGAGUGGCGGACGGGUGAGUAAUGUCUGGGAAACUGCCUGAUGGAGGGGGAUAACUACUGGAA